UGGGGAAUAUUGGACAAUGGGCGAAAGCCUGAUCCAGCCAUGCCGCGUGUGUGAAGAAGGUCUUCGGAUUGUAAAGCACUUUAAGUUGGGAGGAAGGGCAGUAAAUUAAUACUUUGCUGUUUUGACGUUACCGGCAGAAUAAGCACCGGCUAACUCUGUGCCAGCAGCCGCGGUAAUACAGAGGGUGCAAGCGUUAAUCGGAAUUACUGGGCGUAAAGCGCGCGUAGGUGGUUCGUUAAGUUGGAUGUGAAAUCCCCGGGCUCAACCUGGGAACUGCAUUCAAAACUGACGAGCUAGAGUAUGGUAGAGGGUGGUGGAAUUUCCUGUGUAGCGGUGAAAUGCGUAGAUAUAGGAAGGAACACCAGUGGCGAAGGCGACCACCUGGACUGAUACUGACACUGAGGUGCGAAAGCGUGGGGAGCAAAACAGGAUUAGAUACCCUGGUAGUCCACGCCGUAAACGAUGUCAACUAGCCGUUGGGAGCCUUGAGCUCUUAGUGGCGCAGCUAACGCAUUAAGUUGACCGCCUGGGGAGUACGGCCGCAAGGUUAAAAC
rnacentral:rRNA from 1 species